UACGUAGGUGGCGAGCGUUGUCCGGAUUUACUGGGCGUAAAGAGCGCGCAGGCGGUCGUUCAAGUCGCGUGUGAAAGCCCCCGGCUCAACUGGGGAGGGUCACGCGAUACUGAUCGACUCGAAGGCAGGAGAGGGUAGUGGAAUUCCCGGUGUAGUGGUGAAAUGCGUAGAUAUCGGGAGGAACACCAGUGGCGAAGGCGACUACCUGGCCUGUUCUUGACGCUGAGGCGCGAAAGCUAGGGGAGCAAACAGGG
rnacentral:rRNA from 1 species